CAUUGUUGUCUCUUGUUACACCAUGGUUGCUACAGGAUAAGUUGCGGGACCUUUUUGGUUUGUAAGCCAGGCUGAUUACCAGACAUUUUUGCAAAACUAACAAUGUUCUAACUUCUCUUACACUCCAUGAUUAGGCAAACAGAGCUUUCUAUACGCCUCCCUUCCUCUCCAGAACAGCUAGAAGCCUCGUUUGUAGGAACUCUUCUUGUUUUUUUUCCCCUCCUUCAUGGCAGGGGAAUGGCCAGUAAGAAUAUAGUCUCAUAUAUAAAGCGUUGAAUCGUCAUAUUAAAGCCUGAGAUAAUAUGCAUGAAUCCCAGAGAAAAUAGAAUUUUUAACACUGACAUCUCGAUCCGUUCUAAAAUUCUUAAUGAUUGUGCCGAAAAGUAAGUUAAUUUAUAUCUUUAACACCUGAAAUGGUUUGGUGCCAAUAUGUUAAAAGAGAUCGCAUCUCUAUUUUUUAGACAUCUGGUAAGUUCAUAACUUCUUCUUCCAAAGUAUAAUCUAUCUCCUUUCUGCUAUUCUAUUUUAUUUUGAUGAAAUUGAUAUAAAGACAAAUUAAAAUUUAUCCUAAGAACAAAGCAAACUCUCAUUCAAGGAUUGUGUACGGGGGCGGGUAAAAAGAUAAGGUGGAUAUAAGUCUUACCCAUGAACAAGAUAAAGUAACGGUAAAUUAUAUUCAUUGGAUUCCCCGAAAGGAAGGCUGGGUAAAGUUGAAUACAGAUGGUGCUGGUAGGCGGCAGAAUACAGGCUUGAGACGGGGUAGAACCGGUUGCGAGGCGGGGCUUCUGGAGGGAGGUGGAUUCUCAAUCAGUAAUGCAUGUCAUCACAGAUAGCAGAGACAGCAAAGGUCCUUGUGACAGGUUAUUAUUUCGUUGAGUUGCUGUCCCCUUCUGUUACUCUCUGUGUCUGACUUCUCUUUCCUUGUUAGUUAAGACUUCCAAAUUUGAACAAAUUUACAAGCAAAAACAAACUGAGGUGCAAUAACCUGUAAACAUUGAGAUAGUACCUGCACUAGGAGAACCCUUUUUUUUUUUUUUUUCCUAAAACAACAAGGUGGGCAAUUUCCCUGAAAGGCCUUCGCCACUGUUCCUCUACCAAAUGUUAUAUUGGUUUUCCCUGCUCAGAAACUUAUCAUGGAUGUGCAUUAGCAGUUCUACGUUGACCAAAAAAUUGCACUCGCUAUUAUAACAACAAAAGGAAUUACAACGACAAUGUCAACAUUCUUCUUCUUCUUCUUUUUCCAAUUAUUAUCUGUGACCAGAAAUCCAGUCGACACCAUUUUCUGAGGUUGAAAACGGAAAUGAUGAAAAAAACAACGAUGUAUUGUAAUUGGGUGACCAAAAGAAGCUCUACCUGGAUGGUGUCCAGGCAUAGAUGAGCAACCCCAAAACAAGGACGAUGGCUCCUGCUACAAAGCCAGUUGGAAGGGAGGAUGCGACUCCAAGAUAUGGCAAUGGCAGUGUGAACACAUACACAGCUAUUGGUAC